rnacentral:tRNA from 1 species
GUAGGGGAACCUGCGGCUGGAUCACCUCCUUUCUAAGGAUGAUCCUUCAGCGAGCUCACGCUCACUAUCGGAUCGUUUUAGAAACAUCAGUGGCCAACAGAUCGCCAGAUCGUUGAGCUGCAUUGGCGGGAUUUCGCCGUCUUCGUUUCUCUUUCUUUGCGGACGAACACGCGCUGGGCUUGCAUCAUGCAGGAUCCCACGGUCCCUGACGGGAUAUGCGUUAGGGGCUUGUAGCUCAGUUGGUUAGAGCGCGCGCUUGAUAAGCGUGAGGUCGGAAGUUCAAGUCUUCCCAGGCCCACCACUUUCAUCGAGUGAGCAUUCGUCUUCUGGUUACGGGGCCAUAGCUCAGCUGGGAGAGCGCGUGCUUUGCAAGCAUGAGGUCGUCGGUUCGAUCCCGUCUGGCUCCACCAGAUGGUUUGAUCACCGAGAUCUUGCACCGUCGUCCGCGAAACAUCACUUCGCAUCCUGCUAGUCUGGAUAGACAGCAAGAUGCGUGUUUUCUGACAUCGUAAAGAGGAGAUCGAUCCGAGUUGGGUCGUGCAGCAGAUUGUUGCGCGAAUCCUUCAUUAUCUCCGGAUCAUUUUCGGCGCUCGCUUUCAGCCGUGAGGUUGAAUGCGAGUUGUAAAAUGAUCCUUUUAGCGAAGCUUGACCGCCUCGCUAUCGGAACGAUCUUACGAAGCAAGCUGGUCUUUCUAGUCAAUGUCCGGCUGCACGUAGCAUUCAUCGAGGGUGCGCGCCGUAAGGCAAUCGUGCAGACAACAUUCUGCCGAGUGUGUGGACAUUGAUAAUGAGAGC